AAACACACUUCUCCAUUGCUUCUUGAAGACUUGAAUCCAAUGCCUCCAGUUCUUUCAAAACAUUUUUCACCUGAUUGAUGCCUUUGCUUGAACGUUGACAUCGUACAUGCUUGGAUUGCAAAAAUUUUGAGACGAUAUACCAGCCGGAGAGCUUCGAUUUUGACUUUGAUUAGGAAAUGAAAGAAAGGAUAGAGUCCGAUACAGCA
rnacentral:misc_RNA from 1 species